rnacentral:rRNA from 1 species
UAGGGAAUUUUUCGCAAUGGACGAAAGUCUGACGGAGCAAUGCCGCGUGAACGAUGAAGGUCUUCGGAUCGUAAAGUUCUGUUGUAAGGGAAGAACACCAAGGAUAGGAAAUGAUCUUUGGCUGACGGUACCUACAGAAGAAGCGACGGCUAAAUAUGUGCCAGCAGCCGCGGUAAUACGAAGGUCCCAAGCGUUAUCCGGAAUUAUUGGGCGUAAAGAGCAUGUAGGCGGUUUACUAAGUUCGAUGUGAAAGCUCUAGGCCUAACCUAGAAAUUGCAUUGAAAACUGGUGAACUAGAAUACUGGAGGGGCAAGUGGAAUUCCAUGUGUAGCGGUGGAAUGCGUAGAUAUAUGGAGGAACACCAAUGGCGAAGGCAGCUUGCUGGACAGUAAUUGACGCUGAGAUGCGAAAGCGUGGGGAGCAAACA